CUAAGGUUCGAUUCGAGCGAAAGCGAGAAAGCGUUGCCGCAGGCAACGACCCGAAGGGCGAAGCGCGCAGCGCUGAGUCAUCCUUCCCCCCUCAUCC
rnacentral:sRNA from 1 species